rnacentral:rRNA from 1 species
UACGACUACAUAUCAGGCAUAUCAAUAAGCGGAGGAAAAGCAAUUCUCUAUACCGAUGAUUCAAAAGAGGAAGUAAAUUUACCGCCCACAAAUGUAACUCUUGAGGAACUUGUUGAUUUUGUGUGUUGCAUAAGAAACGGCGAAAACAGUAAAAUCAAUCCUCCGGAAGCGUCGGCACUUUCCGUUAAAAUUGCGCUUCUUGAAAAAGAAAAGGCGAAAUUAAUAUAAAAAGUCAUUGAAGCAAAUUUAUCAUGAUGAUAUAAUUUUCGAAAAAACAAAGGAGUUUGAUUAUGAAAAUUUUAGCAAUAGGUGCUCAUCAGGAUGAUAAUGAGUUCAGAUUCGGAGGCACAGCCUUAAAAUAUGUGAGAAUGGGACACGAGGUUCAGUUUCUCAGUAUGUGCAACGGCUGCGGCGGUCAUCAUAUUAUGACUCCGAAAGAAACCAGCGCGCGCCGUGCAAGGGAAUCGGCGGCUGUGGCAGAGUAUCUGGGAGUAAAAUAUGACAUAUGGGAUAUAGAUGACUGCACCAUUACGGCAGACAUGCCCACCCGUGAAAGACUUAUCCGCUAUAUCCGCACAUUCAAUCCGGAUGUAAUCAUAACUCACCGUACCAACGACUACCACGCAGACCACAGAGCUGUGGCUCUUUUGGUGCAGGAUGCAUCAUAUAUUCUCACUGUGCCCCACACCUGCCCCGAUGUGCCGGCUAUGAGGAAAAUGCCGGUUAUAAUAUAUUAUGAAGACAAAUUCAGCUAUCCCGAGUUCAAGGCAGAUUAUGUGUUUUCAAUAGAUGAUGUAAUAGAAGAAAAGCUCUGGUCAUGUCAUCUCAACGAAUCACAGGUGUAUGAGUGGCUUCCCUAUACCUACGCUUAGGAUGUUGAGUAGCGACAUACGCAC